CCUACGGGAGGCAGCAGUGGGGGAUAUUGCACAAUGGGGGGAACCCUGAUGCAGCGACGCCGCGUGGGUGAAGAAGCGCCUCGGCGCGUAAAGCCCUGUCAGCAGGGAAGAAAAUGACGGUACCUGAAGAAGAAGCCCCGGCUAACUACGUGCCAGCAACCGCGGUCAUACGUAGGGGGCAAGCGUUAUCCGGAUUUACUGGGGGUAAAGGGGGCCGAGACGGCGAUGCAAGACAGGAGUGAAAGCCGCGGGCCCAACCCCGGGACUGCUCUUGGAACUGCGUGGCUGGAGUGCAGGAGGGGCAGGCGGAAUUCCUGGUGUAGCGGUGAAAUGCGUAGAUAUCAGGAGGAACACCGGUGGCGAAGGCGGCCUGCUGGACCGCAACUGACGUUGAGGCCCGAAAGCGUGGGGAGCAAACAGGAUUAGAUACCCUAGUAGUC
rnacentral:rRNA from 1 species